GGUAACCUAUGAUAAGAUUCAACAACGAACAGAAAAACAAUAUGCAUCUAUAGGAUAAUCGGGAUCCUCUAAACCUCAUUUAUCAGAAAAUAAAACAAGCCUAAAGAGAUCAAAUGGCCAAUAAGGAAGGAAGAAAACAAAGAUAAGGAAGUAUGGGCUCAAAAGUGGAAUGGAUGGGUUGCUGUUACUUGUCUAUGGCUAUCUAAGAAGUAAGGAAAGUGAGGAAGAAAGACGAAGUUCUUCAAUCAAGUUCUCAUAGCUAAUACAUAACAGAACUAACAUUUGAAUCUACAUCUUCAGAAUCUAAGAUCGGUUUUCUUUAUUCUAUACUAUAAUCAUAAAGAACAAUCAGUUUCUUUGAUAAGUUAUCAGUCAUUCUAGGCAAGUAUUAGCUGGUUGAUAACCCUGUUUAUAAUCCACUCUUUUAUUAUUUGCUACUACCAACAGAUCAAACCAUGAAUCUUUAAAUGUGUAGUAUUUGACCAUUGUAUUUGGCACAUAUGUUUAUGUUCUGUUUGGAGUUCUUUGGCUGUAAAAAACAAAACAAAACAAAACAAUCCUACUGUGAGGUCAGAUUCUCUUACUUUGUCUUAUGAUUUCAAAUGCCAAACUCUUUUUAUAAUAUCACAUUGCCAAUACUUAAAAAAAAAAAGUAUGUUCAGUCAA